UGUGGUUCGGGGCGGCGGCGCCCCUGGGGCUGAUGGCCCCGGCACUGCGCAAGGCGGGCGCCGAGCGGAUCGUCGCCACCACCCACGGCCA
rnacentral:tRNA from 1 species